rnacentral:rRNA from 1 species
AGAGUUUGAUCAUGGCUCAGAACGAACGCUGGCGGCAGGCCUAACACAUGCAAGUCGAGCGCCCCGCAAGGGGAGCGGCAGACGGGAGAGUAACACGUGGGAACGUACCCUUUGGUUCGGAACAACCCAGGGAAACUUGGGCUAAUACCGGAUAAGCCCUUACGGGGAAAGAUUCAUCGCCGAAGGAUCGGCCCGCGUCUGAUUAGCUAGUUGGUGGGGUAACGGCCCACCAAGGCGACGAUCAGUAGCUGGUCUGAGAGGAUGAUCAGCCUCACUGGGACUGAGACACGGCCCAGACUCCUACGGGAGGCAGCAGUGGGGAAUAUUGGUCAAUGGACGAAAGUCUGAACCAGCCAUGCCGCGUGGAGGAUGAAGGUCCUCUGGAUUGUAAACUUCUUUUAUAUGGGACGAAAAAAGGCUUUUCUAAGUCGUCUGACGGUACCAUAUGAAUAAGCACCGGCUAACUCCGUGCCAGCAGCGGCGGUAAUUC